rnacentral:rRNA from 1 species
AGUGAACGCUGGCGGUAGGCCUAACACAUGCAAGUCGAACGGCAGCACAGUAAGAUCUUGCUCUUACGGGUGGCGAGUGGCGGACGGGUGAGGCAUACAUCGGAAUCUACUUUUUCGUGGGUGAUAACGUAGGGAAACUUACGCUAAUACCUCAUACGACCUACGGGUGAAAUCAGGGGAUCUUCGGACCUUGCGCGAUUGAAUGAGCCGAUGUCGGAUUAGCUAGUUGGCGGGGUAAAGGCCCACCAAGGCGACGAUCCGUAGCUGGUCUGAGAGGAUGAUCAGCCACACUGGAACUGAGACACGGUCCAGACUCCUACGGGAGGCAGCAGUGGGGAAUAUUGGACAAAGGGCGCAAGCCUGAUCCAGCAAUACCGCGUGAGUGAAGAAGGCCUUCGGGUUGUAAAGCCCUUUUGUUGGGAAAGAAAAGAAGCAGGUGAAUACCCCGAUGUUCUGACGGUACCCAAAGAAUAAGCACCGGCUAACUUCGUG